rnacentral:snRNA from 1 species
CAUGACAACAGUUAUCUCUC